CUGUAGCUCAGUUGGAUAGAGCGACCGCCUCCUAAGCGGUAGGCCGGAGGUUCGAAUCCUCUCAG
rnacentral:tRNA from 1 species